rnacentral:pre_miRNA from 1 species
ACAACAUUCGGACCGUCGGUCUACCGAGCAAUAUCACCCGCUCGAUGGAAGAUCUUCCCUAGACGU